ACGGGCUGACUGAGGCUGAAUCGGUCCUAUGGGGCAGUGUAGCCACUUUCUGCAGGUGCAGAGCUGCUGUCUGGCUCCUUUUCUGUCUCACACAAAGCAAGCGGAAAGGAGAAUCUAGUACCAUAAAAUGCCACUGGAUCUACUUCGAUGUGAUAACCUGUGGAGUCAUGCUUGCUUAUUGUUCUGUUCAGCUUUCUGGAAGCCAGUGGACUACAAUAUAUGUUCGGCAUUGCCCACCCAUUUUUAAUUCAUCCAAGUACACUCACUAAGGCAGAAAGAAAACAAAAAAAUGAAAAAGUAACAUUUUUUUUUCUAAC